rnacentral:rRNA from 1 species
GAGUCGCACGAUGAAGCCCGUGCUUGCACGGGUGGAUUAGUGGCGAACGGGUGAGUAUCACGUGAGUAACCUGCCCUUGACUCUGGGAUAAGCCUGGGAAACUGGGUCUAAUACCGGAUAUGACCAGUCCUCGCAUGAGGUGCUGGUGGAAAGAUUUUAUCGGUCUUGGAUGGACUCGCGGCCUAUCAGCUAGACGGUGAGGUAACGGCUCACCGUGGCGAUGACGGGUAGCCGGCCUGAGAGGGUGACCGGCCACACUGGGACUGAGACACGGCCCAGACUCCUACGGGAGGCAGCAGUGGGGAAUAUUGCACAAUGGGCGCAAGCCUGAUGCAGCGACGCCGCGUGCGGGAUGACGGCCUUCGGGUUGUAAACCGCUUUCAGCAGGGAAGAAGCUUUUGUGACGGUACCUGCAGAAGAAGCGCCGGCUAACUACGUGCCAGCAGCCGCGGUAAUACGUAGGGCGCGAGCGUUAUCCGGAAUUAUUGGGCGUAAAGAGCUCGUAGGCGGCUUGUCGCGUCUGCUGUGAAAGCCCGGGGCUUAACCCCGGGUGUGCAGUGGGUACGGGCAGGCUAGAGUGCAGUAGGGGAGACUGGAAUUCCUGGUGUAGCGGUGAAAUGCGCAGAUAUCAGGAGGAACACCGAUGGCGAAGGCAGGUCUCUGGGCUGUUACUGACGCUGAGGAGCGAAAGCAUGGGGAGCGAACAGGAUUAGAUACCCUGGUAGUCCAUGCCGUAAACGUUGGGCACUAGGUGUGGGGGACAUUCCACGUUUUCCGCGCCGUAGCUAACGCAUUAAGUGCCCCGCCUGGGGAGUACGGCCGCAAGGCUAAAACUCAAAGGAAUUGACGGGGGCCCGCACAAGCGGCGGAGCAUGCGGAUUAAUUCGAUGCAACGCGAAGAACCUUACCAAAGGCUUGACAUGGACCGGAUCGCUGCAGAGAUGUAGUUUCCCUUCGGGGCUGGGUUCACAGGUGGUGCAUGGUUGUCGUCAGCUCGUGUCGUGAGAUGUUGGGUUAAGUCCCGCAACGAGCGCAACCCUNGUCCUAUGUUGCCAGCACGUAAUGNGGGGACUCAUGGGANACU